AGCGAAAGCGAGUCUGAAUAGGGCGUGCAGUAUGAGGUCGUCGACCCGAAACCAGGUGACCUACCCAUGUGCAGGGUGAAGGUGCGGUGAAACGCACUGGAGGCCCGAACCCACGUAUGUUGAAAAAUGCGGGGAUGACGUGUGGGUAGCGGUGAAAUUCCAAUCGAACCUGGAGAUAGCUGGUUCUCUCCGAAAUAGCUUUAGGGCUAGCCUCGGAUGAUGCAUCGUGGAGGUAGAGCGACUGUUUGGACGAGGGCCCCUUGCGGGGUACCGAAUCCUGAUAAACUCCGAAUGCCACAGAUGUUAAUCCGGGAGUCACACUGCGAGUGAUAAGAUCCGUAGUGGAAAGGGAAACAACCCAGACCGUCGGCUAAGGUCCCCAAAUCCUUGUUAAGUGGAAAAGGAUGUGGGGCUGCUUAGACAACUAGGAUGUUGGCUUAGAAGCAGCCAUCAUUUAAAGAGUGCGUAAUAGCUCACUAGUCGAGUGGCCCUGCGCCGAAAAUUUACCGGGGCUAAACAAGGUACCGAAGCCACGGAUAGAACCUUUGGUUCUAUGGUAGGAGAGCGUUCUAAUCAGCAUAGAAGCCUGACUGUGAAGACAGGUGGAGCGAUUAGAAGUGAGAAUGCCGGUAUGAGUAGCGAAAGACAGGUGAGAAUCCUGUCCACCGAAUGACUAAGGUUUCCUGGGGAAGGCUCGUCCUCCCAGGGUUAGUCGGGACCUAAGCUGAGGCCGAACGGCGUAGGCGAUGGUCAACAGGUUGAUAUUCCUGUACCAGUUUCUUUUGUUUGACCGAUGGAGGGACGCAGCAGGCUAAGAUAUGCCCACUGAUGGAUGUGGGUGCAAAUAAUAAGUCUGGCGAUGAGUCAAAUGCUUAUCGCUAAGGACAAGUUAUGACGCGGAGGGAAGUACAGUACCGAAGUAUCUGA
rnacentral:rRNA from 1 species